UGGUAAUUAGUUUAAACAAAACAAAUGAUUUCGACUCAUUAAAUCAUGGGCAUAGCCAUGAGUACCAA
rnacentral:tRNA from 1 species